AUGAAACUCAUAUGUUGGAACUGCUGUGGCAUGGCCAGUGCUGCGGCAGAAAUAGCGCUUCUGGAUGUCCAGAAGCAAUGGGGGCCGAAUGGUGUCUUCCUAUCUGAGACGCAUCUGAAUAAAGCUAAGGCAGGGAAGCUAAGGAAAAAAGUAAAAAUGGAUUGCAUGGAAGUGCAUGAAAGUGAUGGAGCAAGUGGGGGUCUGCUUCUGUUUUGGAGGAGA
rnacentral:rRNA from 1 species